GUGGAUCAUCAAAUCUUUGAACGCAAAUUGCACUCUCUUCGGAGAGUAUGCCUGUUUGAGGGUCAACCUAAAAAAAAAAUCGACAUAUUCGCUGUUUCGCGUUGACAUUCGUCGGAAAUUGGGUCAUCUUAAACCUUUGGGUUUUAAGCGCCUUAAAAUUUUCUUUACGAUUCAACGAACGUUUCUACGAUUUACUUCUUAUACGUUUAAGUUAAUCUAUCUUUAUUAUACUGAGCCGUUGCAGCGUAUCG
rnacentral:misc_RNA from 1 species